GGAACACACACAGAAGCCAAGGGAGUAAAUCCACAGACCACCCCCUCUCCAGAGUACAGUGUACACAGCUUAUGUGUCAGAGGUUGAGUCAAUGGAUCCAGUGGGCUGGCUAGCUGGGGCGGACUUCCUGGAGGAGGAAUGUUGGUGUAUGUCACCAUAUCCAGACUUUACCUGAGCCUGCAGAGGAGUGACUGAGUGCAGGCUCCAAGAGCACUCCUUUGUUCUGCUUAAGCUUGUGCGUCAUAUGGCUCCUGGCCAGCCUCCCCGCUAGAUCUCUACCAGGUGGAAAGAGAGCAAGGGCCUUUACCUAUGGCACAGAAGGCCAUGUGAAGGUCAUCAUCCCGUGUUGGUGGCAGACUGAGACCUCUAGUUAUAGGGGGGCAGACACCCACUAUUGAAGUUGCUCUUAUUCCCUCUCAUCUGUGUGACUAAAGCGUGAUUCCAUCUG
rnacentral:lncRNA from 1 species